rnacentral:rRNA from 1 species
GGUGAUGAAGUUGCUGAUGCCAUACUUCCAGGAAAAGCCUCUAAGCUUCAGAUUAUAUGGAAUCGUACCCCAAACCGACACAGGUGGUCAGGUAGAGAAUACUAAGGCGCUUGAGAGAACUCGGGUGAAGGAACUAGGCAAAAUCGUACCGUAACUUCGGGAGAAGGUACGCUCCUAUCUGUGAUGAGACUUGCUCUCUAAGCGGACGGGAGCCGCAGUGACCAGGUGGCUGGGACUGUUUAUUAAAAACACAGCACUGUGCAAAAUCGCAAGAUGACGUAUACGGUGUGACACCUGCCCGGUGCCGGAAGGUUAAUUGAUGGGGUUAUCCUUAGGGAGAAGCUCUUGAUCGAAGCCCCGGUAAACGGCGGCCGUAACUAUAACGGUCCUAAGGUAGCGAAAUUCCUUGUCGGGUAAGUUCCGACCUGCACGAAUGGUGUAACCAUGGCCACGCUGUCUCCACCCGAGACUCAGUGAAAUUGAAAUCGCAGUGAAGAUGCUGUGUACCCGCGGCUAGACGGAAAGACCCCGUGAACCUUUACUACAGCUUGGCACUGAACAUUGAACCUACAUGUGUAGGAUAGGUGGGAGACUUUGAAGAUGAGACGCUAGUUUUGUUGGAGUCAACCUUGAAAUACCACCCUUGUAGUUUUGAUGUUCUAACGUUGGCCCCUGAAUCGGGGUUACGGACAGUGCCUGGUGGGUAGUUUGACUGGGGCGGUCUCCUCCUAAAGAGUAACGGAGGAGCACGAAGGUUGGCUAAGUACGGUCGGACAUCGUACGGUUAGUGUAAUGGUAGAAGCCAGCUUAACUGCGAGACAGACACGUCGAGCAGGUACGAAAGUAGGUCAUAGUGAUCCGGUGGUUCUGAAUGGAAGGGCCAUCGCUCAACGGAUAAAAGGUACUCCGGGGAUAACAGGCUGAUACCGCCCAAGAGUUCAUAUCGACGGCGGUGUUUGGCACCUCGAUGUCGGCUCAUCACAUCCUGGGGCUGAAGUCGGUCCCAAGGGUAUGGCUGUUCGCCAUUUAAAGUGGUACGCGAGCUGGGUUUAGAACGUCGUGAGACAGUUCGGUCCCUAUCUGCCGUGGGCGUUUGAGAAUUGAGAGGGGUUGCUCCUAGUACGAGAGGACCGGAGUGAACGAACCGCUGGUGUUCGGGUUGUCAUGCCAAUGGCAUUGCCCGGUAGCUACGUUCGGAACUGAUAAGCGCUGAAAGCAUCUAAGCGCGAAGCAGGCCUCGAGAUGAUUUCUCACUAGAGCUAUAAGCUCUCUGAAGGGCCGUUGGAGACUACAACGUUGAUAGGCAAGAUGUGGAAGUGCUGUGAGGCAUUAAGCUAACUUGUACUAAUUACCCGUGAGGCUUAACCAU